UUCAAAGGAGGACCCCCCCCCCCCUUCUCUCAAUGUCUCGGGGAACCAUAAGGAGACUAUUUCUUUUCUAAUUUUCUCUUCCCCUUUUUGUCCGGUGGUUUUAGGACACCCCUGGCUGGUCAAACAUAACCCCCUUAUUGAUUGGACUAAUAAUUCGAUUCUAUCAUGGAAACUGUCUUGUCAUGUUGGUUGUUUAACCUCUGCCAUCCCUCCUGUCUCUUCUGUCUCUGUUUCACAGGUCGAGCCAGGUGAUUUGUCUGGAGUCCCGGAGGAGUAUCUUGAUCUGCGGGAGGUUUUCAGUCGGUCCCAGGCAAGCUCUCUCCCUCCUCAUCGGCCGUACGACUGUAGCAUAGACCUCCUCCCAGAGUACCUGUGACUGCACUCGUUGCCUUCUGAUCACCUGGAGAUCUCGGAGUUGGCUGGCAUUCUAACAGUACCCUCGACUACCAGAGACACUCCACUGCCUAGACGGAGGAAUUACGUUAAAUUCCUGGCAGCUGUUUAACCCUCUGGAGUCGAUUAACGCGUAUACGCGUUUUGGGGUAUUUUCUCCUGAUAACCCCGAAAAGAACUUAAAUUACACUUUCAGUUUUGAUCGUACAGAUAAGAGCAAUACAUCAAUCGAAUCUGUAAAGGGUCUACUUUUUUUGUAUACAGACAUAAUAACAACAAAACUUUGUGCACUUAUAAAAUAAAGAUAACAAACAAGGAGUGCUGUCUGCAGCCUUUGUCUGCGCUGAUCUUCAGUUACAAAUGCGUCAUUAAAAUGAAGUGUAACUCAGUGAAUACUCAACACAGAGACAUGAGAGAGAUAUCUAUAGAAAGCCUGACAUGUCUACUUUUAAACUAAACAAGUGCUGCCGAAAACAAAUAUUCUGUGAUAAAGUAAUCCAUAUGAAAACAACGCGAUGUCCGUUUUUCAGGUCUCCCUUCAUUAUCUUCUAAUGCGACCACGCCCCCGCGCUGAACGCGCCUUUCAGAUUCAAAUGUUUCACUGAAGCGCGCGGCUUUUGAAUACGCCCACACAACAGAAGACAACGCAGCGAGACUGUUCUUCAAGUUUUUUUUUAUUUUACUGUUUGCUUCGCGAUGAGAGGAAUAAGACAUAAUUCACCCCAAAAAUAUGUGAUGUGGUUGAGGAUUUGAGAUUUGGAUUUCCUCAGAAAAAAGAAUGAAGCACUUUAUUCAGCAGAGAUCAGAAACAUGAGUAAGUCUCUUUUUAUUUAUUUAUAUACUUGUACUAGUUUUCACAUAACGUGUAAACAUUUUACUAGUUAGACUUUUUCCUAAUACUUUUUCCAAAUUAUAAUUCCUGACUAAAUGUAUAAUCAAGUGAAAUAUUAUGAAGUUUCAAUAACAAUAUACACUACUAUACCAUUCAAAAGCUUGAUGUAAAUAAUAUAAAUGUAACAAUAAAUGUAACUGUAACAAAUGUAACAAUCAUUGCUGUUCUUUCAAUUUAUCCCCCCUAAAAAACCUAAAAAAAAAAUAUUCUCAGCUCUUUUCAACAUUAAUAAUAAUAAUAAUAAUAAUAAUAAUAACAAUAAAUGUUUUUUUUUGUAGAAAAUAAGAUUGUUAAAAGGAUUUCUGAAAGAUUGUGUGACUGGAGUAAUGAUGCAAAAAAUUCAGUUUGAAAGUCAGCUUUGAUUGUUCCUAAUAAACUGUUUAACUGCACUCACAUGUGAAUAUUAAAUUAUGUUGUGGGAUAAUUAAAUAUAUUUUAAAUAAACUACAAACAUAAAAUUAUAUACAUUUAUUUUGUCCUCACAUUCUUUCUUGUAACUCAUCCCUCUCAGUGACACAGCUGACUGAAUGGCUCAUUAUGCAGCUCAUUAUGCAGGCCUUUGUCUUCUCAGGUGUGAAUUCAUGAUAGUUGACGCCUACUCGCAUAUGACUUUUACCAACAAAAAGUGUCUUAGAAAAUUGAAAUCAAUAUAUUGUUUUCUGUAAGUGAGUAAACAAGAUGAUUUUCACAUCAUUUAGAAAAAUUCUAGGCUACAAGCUCCAGGUCUCAAAAUUCCUGGGAACCAAUUUUUCUGUAUGUGUUUUAUUGCCUUAUUCAAGUGAUUUAACAUUUUUAGUUUUUCACUAACCACGCAUAACAUUUUUUUUCUCAAAAACACAAUCAUGUACAUACAUGCUGCUCACAUAUUAUUAUAGCCCAGUUUGUGCUGAUUACAGUGAGAUUAGACUUUAGCCAUUUAGAUAUUUAUAAGAAACUGAAAAAAGCACAAAUGUCAGGGCAUGACAAAACUUCUCCAGGCCCCAAAAAUACCCUUAGACUCCAGAGGGUUAACCGGAGGAUUUUUGUUGUCAAUUAUUGCAUUCUGAGGAUUUCUGUUCUUACCUCUGGACUUCUGAUUCAGUUAAUUAAAGACUGUAU
ensembl:lncRNA